rnacentral:rRNA from 1 species
UACGUAGGGUGCAAGCGUUGUCCGGAAUUAUUGGGCGUAAAGAGCUCGUAGGCGGUCUGUCACGUCGGUUGUGAAAACCCGAGGCUCAACCUCGGGCCUGCAGUCGAUACGGGCAAACUAGAGUACUGCAGGGGAGACUGGAAUUCCUGGUGUAGCGGUGAAAUGCGCAGAUAUCAGGAGGAACACCGGUGGCGAAGGCGGGUCUCUGGGCAGUAACUGACGCUGAGGAGCGAAAGCGUGGGGAGCGAACAGG